CUACGGGGCGCUGCAGUGAGGAAUAUUGCACAAUGGGGGGAACCCUGAUGCAGCAACGCCGCGUGGAGGAUGACGCAUUUCGGUGUGUAAACUCCUUUUAUAUGUCAAGAAAAUGACGGUAGCAUACGAAUAAGCACCGGCUAACUCCGUGCCAGCAGCCGCGGUAAUACGGAGGGCGCAAGCGUUACUCGGAAUCACUGGGCGUAAAGGACGCGUAGGCGGGUUGGAAAGUCAGGUGUGAAAUCCUACAGCUUAACUGUAGAACUGCACUUGAAACUUCUAAUCUAGAGUAUGGGAGGGGGAGAUGGAAUUAGUGGUGUAGGGGUAAAAUCCGUAGAUAUCACUAGGAAUACCUAAAGCGAAGGCGAUCUCCUGGAACAUUACUGACGCUAAGGCGUGAAAGCGUGGGGAGCAAACAGGAUUAGAUACCCUGGUAGUC
rnacentral:rRNA from 1 species